GUCCUUUUGUUUUUGCAAAGCCACAUAAACAACAACUAACCAUUUUAUUCUUACUUAACAAUUAAAAUCUAAAAUAUUCUUAAAUCUGUCACUCUCAAUAGGUUUGUUCUUUUUCAUUAGUCUCUGCUUGCUCUCGACAACAUAACGUCACAACUUCGAUUCAUUGUAUCGAUAAUCGCAAUUGGUUCAGUUUUAUGACGUCACAUCUUUCGCACUGCUAACAAAGGAUUUUCUCUUCCAUGCUCCUUCCUGGUAUUCUUUAUUCAAUGACAUUAUUAGAUAAAAGUUAGGUUAGGUUAGGUAAAAAAUGGUUGUAACUUGUUGUGUUUGCGGUGUUGAAAAGGGAUCUUGGCAAGAUUGUGAUCUAACAUUCCAUUAUUUUCCGAAAGACGAAGAUUUAAAAUUAAAAUGGAUGGAAAAUAUUGGGAAAAAAAUUAAGUACAAUGCAACUGUAUGUAGCAAACAUUUCAAAGCAGAGGAUUAUAAAAAUCAUGAAGAUCUGAAUUUAAUAAGGAAAUUAUUAAAACCUUCUGCAAUUCCUAAUGGACGUAAUAUGUCUAAAGAAUUGAAACAUGUUGAAAAUUCUUCAUCAUCUAGUGUUAUACAUACUUCAACUGAGAAAGAUCAAAAUGAAAGUACACCACGGGGGUGACACUGCCUAUGCUUCGCUACUUUGACUAUGAAAAUAUGGACUGCUAAAGCCAACUUGAUUUGGUAUCCAAGAACUGUGGCGACACCGUGUGGCAACGAGGCCGGGAAUAACUAAUCCAUACAAUAAUGUGCGUGUCAAAGGUGCGUGGUGUUUAGUAUAUAAAAUCGGCUUGAAUCUUUGACAUAAUUUAAAUAUAUAAAAAUGGUGUUAUAUUGUUUUGUGGAAGGCUGCAAAAUUGAGAAAAUAUAAAAAAGAGGAAAUUAAUGACUUCAGCCUGCAGUUUUACGGGUCUAAUGCUUGCAUCCUUCUUACUUGGAAUUUUCUGCAAUUUGCCACACGGGGCGGGGCUAAAAUUUCGAAAAAUAUCGAAAGAUGCUGGAUACAUACUCUUAUACACGGGUUAGAUAGGAAAAGUGGGGGUAACUAGCAGUUCAUAUUUUCAUAAUCAAAAAGAUGAGACAACAACCCACCGAUAACGCGCUCAUCUACACCUAUCCACACCGAAAAAAAACCUCAUUUAUGCUCCUCAGUGUACACUGCUUGAAUUCGAUAGAUUCUCGUCUGAUUAGAUCUAUCAAAAAAUUACCUUUUUAAAAAAAAGAUAAAAAAAGGCUCCAAGUACACCAGCGGUGUAUGGGUCCAUAAGCAAAUGCAUAAGGAAAUGGACCAAUCAAUUUUCUUAUGCAUAUGUUUAUGCGACUAUGCAAGUUUGUCUGGAUAGGCUCUUACCAGAGCGUUCUGCGUAGCAUAUGAACAUGGCCUUCGAUUGUGUGCGUGGAAACCCAGAACGAGAAUUAGUAACGCUAAAGUACAUGCUCUUGUCACAACCAAAACAAAACAGUAUUGUUUUAUCAUUCAAAAGAACCUAUAUUAAUAUAUUUCUUUCAAAAAAGUCGUCGCAUAUA
rnacentral:misc_RNA from 1 species